AACGAACGCUGGCGGCAUGCCUAACACAUGCAAGUCGAACGAAAAGUUCGGGUCUAGGGGCGCUGGUGGGCGUACGGCGGGGGAACCUGCACUUGAGUUCGGUAUACCUCACCGUGGGGGAUGCUAAUACCAGUUGAGGUCUUAGGACCAAAGAUCUAUCGCCUUUGGAUGGGCGCGCGUCGGCUUCGCUGGUUGGUAGUGUACAAGCAUACCAUGGCGACGAUCCAUAGCUGGUCGGAGAGGAUGAUCCGUCACACUGGGACUGCGACACGGCCCAGACUCGUACGGGAGGCAGCAGUGGGGAAUAUUGGACGAGGGGCGAAAGCGUGAUCCAGCAAUGCCGCGGGAGUGAUGAAGGCCUUAGUGUUGUAAAGCUCUUUUACCCGGGAUGAUAAUGACAGUACCGGGUGAAUAAGCACCGGCUAACUCCGUG
rnacentral:rRNA from 1 species